rnacentral:rRNA from 1 species
UUCGCCCUUAGAGUUUGAUCCUGGCUCAGGACGAACGCUGGCGGCGUGCUUAACACAUGCAAGUCGAGCGAGUGGAGUUCUUCGGAACAAAGCUAGCGGCGGACGGGUGAGUAACACGUGGGCAACCUGCCUCAUAGAGGGGAAUAGCCUCCCGAAAGGGAGAUUAAUACCGCAUAAGAUUGUAGCUUCGCAUGAAGUAGCAAUUAAAGGAGCAAUCCGCUAUGAGAUGGGCCCGCGGCGCAUUAGCUAGUUGGUGAGGUAACGGCUCACCAAGGCGACGAUGCGUAGCCGACCUGAGAGGGUGAUCGGCCACAUUGGGACUGAGACACGGCCCAGACUCCUACGGGAGGCAGCAGUGGGGAAUAUUGCACAAUGGGGGAAACCCUGAUGCAGCAACGCCGCGUGAGUGAUGACGGCCUUCGGGUUGUAAAGCUCUGUCUUCAGGGACGAUAAUGACGGUACCUGAGGAGGAAGCCACGGCUAACUACGUGCCAGCAGCCGCGGUAAUACGUAGGUGGCGAGCGUUGUCCGGAUUUACUGGGCGUAAAGGGAGCGUAGGCGGACUUUUAAGUGAGAUGUGAAAUACCCGGGCUCAACUUGGGUGCUGCAUUUCAAACUGGAAGUCUAGAGUGCAGGAGAGGAGAAUGGAAUUCCUAGUGUAGCGGUGAAAUGCGUAGAGAUUAGGAAGAACACCAGUGGCGAAGGCGAUUCUCUGGACUGUAACUGACGCUGAGGCUCGAAAGCGUGGGGAGCAAACCAGGAUUAGAUACCCUGGUAGUCCACGCCGUUAAACGAUGAAUACUAGGGUGUAGGGGUUGUCAUGACCUCUGUGCCGCCGCUAACGCAUUAAGUAUUCCGCCUGGGGAGUACGGUCGCAAGAUUAAAACUCAAAGGAAUUGACGGGGGCCCGCACAAGCAGCGGAGCAUGUGGUUUAAUUCGAAGCAACGCGAAGAACCUUACCUAGACUUGACAUCUCCUGCAUUACCCUUAAUCGGGGAAGUUCCUUCGGGAACAGGAAGACAGGUGGUGCAUGGUUGUCGUCAGCUCGUGUCGUGAGAUGUUGGGUUAAGUCCCGCAACGAGCGCAACCCUUAUUGUUAGUUGCUACCAUUUAGUUGAGCACUCUAGCGAGACUGCCCGGGUUAACCGGGAGGAAGGUGGGGAUGACGUCAAAUCAUCAUGCCCCUUAUGUCUAGGGCUACACACGUGCUACAAUGGCAAGUACAAAGAGAAGCAAGACCGCGAGGUGGAGCAAAACUCAAAAACUUGUCUCAGUUCGGAUUGUAGGCUGAAACUCGCCUACAUGAAGCUGGAGUUGCUAGUAAUCGCGAAUCAGCAUGUCGCGGUGAAUACGUUCCCGGGCCUUGCACACACCGCCCGUCA